rnacentral:lncRNA from 1 species
CUCAAAGAAAGAUGAUUAUAUUCUUACGCUGUAUGACAGUAUUAAUGUUAUUGACGUAAAUAAAGUUGUGGAAUAUGUUAAAGGUCUACAGAAAGAAGAUGGUUCUUUUGCUGGAGAUAUUUGGGGAGAAAUUGACACAAGAUUCUCUUUUUGUGCGGUGGCAACUUUGGCUUUGUUGGGGAAGCUUGAUGCUAUUAAUGUGGAAAAGGCAAUCGAAUUUGUUUUAUCCUGUAUGAACUUUGACGGUGGAUUUGGUUGCAGACCAGGUUCUGAAUCCCAUGCUGGGCAGAUCUAUUGUUGCACAGGAUUUCUGGCAAUUACAAGUCAGUUGCAUCAAGUAAAUUCUGAUUUACUUGGCUGGUGGCUUUGUGAACGACAAUUACCCUCAGGCGGGCUCAAUGGAAGGCCGGAGAAGUUACCAGAUGUAUGCUACUCAUGGUGGGUCCUGGCUUCCCUAAAGAUAAUUGGAAGACUUCAUUGGAUUGAUAGAGAGAAACUGCGUAAUUUCAUUUUAGCAUGUCAAGAUGAAGAAACGGGGGGAUUUGCAGACAGGCCAGGAGAUAUGGUGGAUCCUUUUCAUACCUUAUUUGGAAUUGCUGGAUUGUCACUUUUGGGAGAAGAACAGAUUAAACCUGUUAAUCCUGUCUUUUGCAUGCCUGAAGAAGUGCUUCAGAGAGUGAAUGUUCAGCCUGAGCUAGUGAGCUAGAUUCAUUGAAUUGAAAGUUGCAUAGUAUAGUUUUGCCAUUUUAACAUUUCUGUAUUUGAAGUGCUUAUCGAAUCUAAAAGUGACUACUGUUAAUAUUUUGUAUAUUGUGUUAAAUUAAUUUUAAUAAAUUAUAUAAUUAUACAUAUUGUAAAAUAAAGAC